AGAGUUUGAUCCUGGCUCAGAACGAACGCUGGCGGCGUGCUUAACACAUGCAAGUCGUACGAGAAAUCCUGGGCAACUGGGAAAGUAAAGUGGCGCACGGGUGAGUAACGCGUGGGUAACCUACCCUUGGAUUUGGGAUAACUCCGCGAAAGCGGGGUUAAUACCGGAUGAUAUUUCGAUUCCUAAGGGGGUCGGAAUCAAAGGUGGCCUCUGCAUGCAAGCUACUGUCUAAGGAUGGGCCCGCGUACCAUUAGCUAGUUGGUAGGGUAACGGCCUACCAAGGCAACGAUGGUUAGCUGGUCUUAGAGGAUGGCCAGCCACACUGGAACUGAGACACGGUCCAGACUCCUACGGGAGGCAGCAGUGGGGAAUCUUGCGCAAUGGGGGAAACCUUGACGCAGCAACGCCGCGUGGGUGAUGAAGGCCUUCGGGUCGUAAAGCCCUGUCAGGUGGGAAGAAACAUGUCGGUGCUAAUAUCACCGAUGUUUGACGGUACCGCCGGAGGAAGCACCGGCUAACUCCGUGCCAGCAGCCGCGGUAAUACGGAGGGUGCAAGCGUUGUUCGGAAUUACUGGGCGUAAAGCGCGUGUAGGCGGUUGGGCAAGUCAGAUGUGAAAGCCUUCCGCUCAACGGAAGAAGUGCAUUUGAAACUACCCGGCUGGAGUACGGGAGAGGAGAGUGGAAUUCCCGGUGUAGAGGUGAAAUUCGUAGAUAUCGGGAGGAACACCAGUGGCGAAGGCGGCUCUCUGGUCCGAUACUGACGCUGAGACGCGAAAGCGUGGGGAGCAAACAGGAUUAGA
rnacentral:rRNA from 1 species